UUUUUAAGUCACUUAAAAUUGGUAGUUUAUUGAUGAACUAAAUAUCUAUUAAGUUAUUCAGUGAUGCUGAUUACAACAGGCCUCCGUUAUACGAAGGGAAAACAUCCCAGACCCCCCAGUGAAUGCCUGAAACUGGAUUCUACUGAACCCUGAGAUGGUACUAAGUGACUAACGGGUGAAUAGCGUGUACAGCAUGGAUACACUAGACAAAGGGAGGAUUCGCAUCCCGGGCUGGUCAGCAAGAGGUUUCAUCACCCCACUCAAAAUGGCAGGACCGUAUGAACCUGAAUCCAGAGAAACGGCUCAUCAGUCUCCAAUCCUCUGAUUUUCUAAACCAGGACUACAUUAUAUUAAAACCAGAAAAAGCAAUACCUCUUUUCACAGAAUGGACUUUCUGGUGGAAAUGGGAGGAACCAAAAGAAGGCUGACUUCUUCAUUUUGACACCCUGCCCUGACUGCAGAACGUGAUUUCCCUAAAAGACUGAAUGUUAACCUCAAAGCCUGGUCAACCAACAUGCAGGAGAAAUCUUGACCAAGGCUCUGAGCAUGCUGUGGUCCCAGUGGUGAGGGUGUGAUAUGCACUGUCUGUUCCUGGAGUCACAGUGCUCAUCUUGUGGUAAAGACCUCUUGGAAGAAUGUCUUCAAAGGCACAUCUCCAGCUGGGAGUCCUUGUUUCCUGAUUUUUUUUUUUAAGUUUAUGUUAUAUGAACAAAUGAGACUGCUUUCCCGGCAGGAGUAGCCCUCAGACGCCCACUGUGAGCCUACUUUCUGGAAGAAGCCAACUCAGACAGACCACAGUGUGUGCACAGCAUACGUGGCUGCUGGCUGUGGAUGAGAAAGUAUUCCUGAUCUGUCAGAAUAAUGAUUUCAGCGUGUUCUCAGCAGGUCCUCAGUGUGAUCCCAUGAGGAUACCCUCAACCCCUUGCAUGACAUGUUGUACUUGGAGUCCUUCCCCAUUUCAAUUUCAGCAUCAGUGGGAGGGAAAUAGCAAAACAGCAUUCCUUCAUGUAGAUAACCAGUAGGCAGCAGGCUACUCCUGGUUCGUAACAUAACUCCACCAGUGUAUUCUGGCAGCCGGGCUUACUUAAGGGAGAGCACAGACAUUCCCUGCUCAAAAACAAAACUGCUAAACGUGACUCCGGUAGCCUCCAUGCUCUCUGCAA
rnacentral:lncRNA from 10 species